CUCGCGUGUCGUGUCAGCCGCCGCGGUAAUACGUAGGUGGCAAGCGUUGUCCGGAUUUAUUGGGCGUAAAGCGAGUGCAGGCGGUUCAAUAAGUCUGAUGUGAAAGCCUUCGGCUCAACCGGAGAAUUGCAUCAGAAACUGUUGAACUUGAGUGCAGAAGAGGAGAGUGGAACUCCAUGUGUAGCGGUGGAAUGCGUAGAUAUAUGGAAGAACACCAGUGGCGAAGGCGGCUCUCUGGUCUGCAACUGACGCUGAGGCUCGAAAGCAUGGGUAGCGAACAGGAUUAGAUACCCUGGUAGUCCAUGCCGUAAACGAUGAGUGCUAAGUGUUGGGAGGUUUCCGCCUCUCAGUGCUGCAGCUAACGCAUUAAGCACUCCGCCUGGGGAGUACGACCGCAAGGUUGAAACUUAAAGGAAUUGGGCGGG
rnacentral:rRNA from 1 species